rnacentral:rRNA from 1 species
AUACGUAGGGGGCGAGCGUUGUCCGGAGUGACUGGGCGUAAAGAGCACGUAGGCGGUUUAAUAUGUCGGAUGUGAAAAUCCUGAGCUUAACUCAGGACCUGCAUCCGAAACUGUUAAACUUGAGUACAGGAGAGGAAAGCGGAAUUCCUAGGGUAGCGGUGAAAUGCGUAGAUAUUAGGAGGAACACCAGGGGCGAAGGCGGCUUUCUGGACUGGAUCUGACGCUGAGGUGCGAGAGCUAGGGGAGCGAACAGGAUUAGAUACCCUGGUAGUCCUAGCCGUAAACGAUGAAUACUAGGUGUCGGGAGUUUAGAUACUUUCGGUGCUGCAGCAAACGCAAUAAGUAUUCCGCCUGGGGAGUAUGGUCGCAAGACUAAAACUCAAAUGAAUUGACGGGG